rnacentral:lncRNA from 1 species
CGUAGCUUAUUUUCCCCCAACAAAGCCCUACUUAGCUAAUGAUCCUCCAAAAUGACAUAAUUAGCUUAGUUAGGUAAAAACAUCAUAAGAACCUUGGUUAGCUCAUUAAAAUGACUAUUUUAGCUCCAAAAUGACAUAAUAAGCUCAAAAUGGCAUAAGAAUCUUGGUUAGGUCAUGAAUAUUAUAUACUUAGCUUGUUUUCCUCUAAAAUGACAUAAUUAGC